CAGCAGGAUCCAUCAUUGCCCUUGCUCUGUGGAGGAAACUAAAAGGGCAAGCAGGUCAACUGCCCAGGAUUUCAGAGAGGAAUCCUCUCCAGAAGCUAAGCCCAGAUGACUGGGUCAAAAUACUCACUGCAUGAGCUGUCUUUGAUCUGGGAACUACACAGACACCAAGGAUUCGUCCCAUGGAGCAGAUGUGGUAGCAAGACUAUUAAGAUGUGAUCAAUGAGGUCUUACAGAAAAUGAUCUCAGGAUUUCUCAUCUUCAUAUGAGGGACUGUUGCUCAUAGAAGCUAAUCACCUGCUGUACAGAAGCCAUGCAAACUGUGGCAAGGCCCACAUGGAGAGGAACUGAUGCCUUAUAACCCUCAGCACCAUCUGACAGACUCCACAUAAAACCAG